rnacentral:rRNA from 1 species
AGAGUUUGAUCAUGGCUCGAGAAUGAACGCUGGCGGCAGGCCUAACACGUGCAAGUCGAAACGGGUCCUUCGGGACUAGUGCGGACGGGUGAGUAACGCGUGGGAACAUACCCUUUGGUACGGAAUAGCCUCGGGAAACUGGGAGUAAUACCGUAUGUGGUCGAGAGACGAAAGAUUUAUCGCCAAAGGAUUGGCCCGCGUUGGAUUAGGUAGUUGGUGGGGUAAUGGCCUACCAAGCCGACGAUCCAUAGCUGGUUUGAGAGGAUGAUCAGCCACACUGGGACUGAGACACGGCCCAGACUCCUACGGGAGGCAGCAGUGGGGAAUCUUAGACAAUGGGGAAACCCUGAUCUAGCCAUGCCGCGUGAUCGAUGAAGGCCUUAGGGUUGUAAAGAUCUUUCAGGUGGGAAGAUAAUGACUGUACCACCAGAAGAAGCCCCGGCUAACUCCGUG